UGUACCCCUUUCUACACAGGUUGGGAUCAGUUGCAAUGCUGUGUGUGCCUGUAGUAUUGCACUUGUCCCGGCCUGUUGAGGUUGGUGGGGACAG
rnacentral:pre_miRNA from 3 species